rnacentral:rRNA from 1 species
UACGUAGGGUGCAAGCGUUAAUCGGAAUUACUGGGCGUAAAGCGUGCGCAGGCGGUGAUGUAAGACAGGUGUGAAAUCCCCGGGCUAACCUGGGAACGUGCAUUUGUGACUGCAUCGCUGGAGUGCGGCAGAGGGGGAUGGAAUUCCGCGUGUAGCAGUGAAAUGCGUAGAUAUGCGGAGGAACACCGAUGGCGAAGGCAAUCCCCUGGGCCUGCACUGACGCUCAUGCACGAAAGCGUGGGGAGCAAACAGG